UAUGGAGGAUGCGAGCGUUAUCCGGAUUUAUUGGGUUUAAAGGGUGCGUAGGCGGACUGUCAAGUCAGCGGUAAAAUUGAGAGGCUCAACCUCUUCCCGCCGUUGAAACUGGUGGUCUUGAGUGGAUGAGAAGUACGAGGAAUGCGUGGUGUAGCGGUGAAAUGCAUAGAUAUCACGCAGAACUCCGAUUGCGAAGGCAGCGUACCGGCAUCCAACUGACGCUGAGGCACGAAAGCGUGGGGAUCAAACAGG
rnacentral:rRNA from 1 species